rnacentral:rRNA from 1 species
UACGUAGGGAGCAAGCGUUGUUCGGAAUUACUGGGCGUAAAGGGUGUGUAGGCGGUGGUCUAAGUCCGUUGUGAAAUCUCCCGGCUUAACUGGGAGGGUGCGGCGGAAACUGGAGUGCUUGAGUGCGGGAGAGGAAAGCGGAAUUCCUGGUGUAGCGGUGAAAUGCGUAGAUAUCGGGAGGAACACCUGUGGUGUAGACGGCUUUCUGGACCGUAGCUGACGCUGAGACACGAAAGCGUGGGUAGCAAACAGG